rnacentral:rRNA from 1 species
UAGGAUUAUGACUGAACGCCUCUAAGUCAGAAUCCAUGCUGGCAAGCGACGAUUUUCACCUUGACUAGUGUUUUAGUACCGAUAGCCUUUGGUCAACACGCUAUUUCAAAGUAUUACCGAAUGUUGGUCGAGUUAAAUCCUCUGUAGACGACUUAACUAUGGAACGUGGUACUGUAAGCAUGAGAGUAGCCUUGUGCUACGAUCUGCUGAGGUUCAGCCUCUGUUC